rnacentral:rRNA from 1 species
CAAGUACCGUGAGGGAAAGUUGCAAAGAACUUUGAAGAGAGAUUUCAAGAGAACGUGCAAUCCUAGCGGUUGAAGCGGAGAGAGUUGACGUAGCUCGGCGGCUAAGCUUAGUGUUGUCUUUUCGGAGGCUUCGCUUUGUGGUGUCCGCUUAUAGCUGCGCCGGUAGCGUUGUUCGAGCUUUCUGACCUGGUUAGUGUUGCCCACUUCGGUGGUGUCUUGCUGCCGGCGAGGUCUGCCGUAUUAACGUUUAAUUUGCCUUACGGCAAGUACCGGUGUGAAGGUCAGCCACCUUUCCGACCCGUCUUGAAACACGGACCGAGGAGUGUAACUUGUACGCGAGUCAGAGGGUGGAAAACCCUACGGCGCAAUGAAAGUAAAGGUCGGUUAACCGGCUGACAUGGGAUCCGUGCUUCGGCGCGGCGCACCAUGGCCCUGUCUUGAGAGCUUGCUCUUGGGCAGAGGUAGAGCGUACAGGUUGCGACCCGAAAGAUGGUGAACUAUACUUGAGCAGGACGAAGCCAGAGGAAACUCUGGUGGAAGUCCGUAUCGGUUCUGACGUGCAAAUCGAUCGAUAGACUUGAGUAUAGGGGCGAAAGACUAAUCGAACCAUCUAGUAGCUGGUUCCUUCCGA